GGCUGAGAAUGACCACGCACAGACUGUGUGUAUCCCCACUCGUUAUGUAGCGCGGGCAGGGAGGGACACACAGUCUGAAACGCGAUCCGGAUUCGCCUCUAGUAUGCUUUGUUUUCGCCUUGCUCUUAGACAUGACUUGGAGCUACUGGACAGACAACAGUAAAUAAGACUCACAAGACAAACUGAGGACAUUCACACACAGAGCGCUUGCUGAAGACGCGAAGCUGAUGCCAGCUGCGCGGCAUGUGCUUUUAUAGCUUCCUGGUCACUUACGUCACCCCGCCCGUGACGUCACGCUCUUUCAUUGAACUGAUUACACACGAUAUUCAGAGUCGCUCACGCUAGACGUGUUCCCCAAAGCGUUUGACGCAGCUCGAGUUCCUGAAGAGGAACUGGAUGACUGUAAUUUCCUACGGCUAAGUUCUGAAAAAACAGAGGUGUUAAUUAUUGAACCAAAAACCUCUGCAUGUAAUAAACAAAAACACAGUCUAACACUUGAUGGCUGCUCUGUCAAUUCUUCAUAAUCAGUUAGCAAUCUAGGUGUACUAUUUGAUAGCAAUCUUUCCUUUGAAAACCAUGUUUCUAGAUUAUUGUAAUGCUUUAUUGGGUGGUUGCUCUGCACGCUUAAACUCCAGCUGGUCCAAAAUGCAGCAGCGAGAGUUCUUACUAGAACGAUGAAGUAUGAACAUAUUAGCCUGGUUCUGUCAACUCUGCACUUGCUCCCUAUUGAACAACAAAUACAUUUUAAAAUGUGUUAUACUGUGUUUUUGUAAUUACUUAUAAAGCCCUGAAUGGUUUAGCUCCUCAGUACUUGAGCGAGCUCAUAUCGUAUUGUAGUCCUUCACAUCUGCUGCAAUGGCCAUUUGAUAAUACCUAGAAUAUCAAAGUCAACUGCGGGCGGCAGAUCAUUUUCCUAUUUAGCGCCCAAACUCUGGAAUAACCUACCUAACAUUGUUCGGGAGGCAGACACACUCUUGCAGUUUAAAUCUAGAUUAAAGACCCAUCUCUUUAACCUGGUUUACACAUAGCACACUAAUACGCUUCUAAUAUCCAAAUCCGUUAAAGGAUAUUUAGGCUGCAAUAAUUAGGUAAACCUGAACCGGGAACACUUCCCAUAACACCCGAUGUACUUGUUACAUCGUUAGAAGAAUGGCAUCUACGCUAAUAUUAGUCUGUUUCUCUCUUAUUCCGAGGUCACCGUAGCCACCAGAUCCAGUCUGUAUCCAAGUCAGAGGGUCACUGCAGUCACCCGGAUCCAGUACGUAUCCAGCCCAGAUGGUGGAUUAGCACCUAGAAAGGACCUCUACAGCCCUGAAAGACAGCAGAGACCAG
ensembl:lncRNA